GCCCCCGUAGCUCAGAGGACAGAGUAGGAGCCUUCUAAGCUCUUGGCCGGGGGUUCGAAUCCUCCCGGGGGCA
rnacentral:tRNA from 2 species